CUGAACUCGAGUAGGGCCCAAGCCAGCCAGGAAGGAGGAGGCAGCCAGAGUGUCCUCUGCAGCAGAAGAUCCCAGACCAGCAUCUGCUUAACCCAGACCAGCAUUUGCCAGGAGCAAAGUUGAAGGAAAGAGAAGAAGAGGACAGCCAGCAGCAAGGUGGAUGGACUUGAUGAUGACAGCAAUUAAUACACCACGGAGAGACCUUGAAGGCCAAGUUGAAGACAGAUAAUCCUGGAGAGACUUUAACUAUGCGGUUGCUAAGAGUCGACACCAACUUGACGGCAAUUAAUCAAUCAAUAUAUCAGUCAGGAGCAAUAUGCAUGUGUCCAUUGAUUAGCAAAAAAACUAAUCUAUGUGAUCAUACAGUUACCACCAGUUCGUUUGGUGGUGACUCAGAGGCGGGCCUUCUCUGUAGCUGCUCCUGGGCUGUGGAAUGCACUCCCGGCAGAAAUUCGUAAUCUUAAUUCUUUACUGUCCUUCAAGAGAGCCCUUAAAAACCCAUCUGUUUGGCCUGGCCUUUUAGGGUUUUUAAUUAGUUUUAAUUGUUUUAAUGUUAACCUGGUCUUCAGGGUUUUAAUUGUUUUGAUAGUUUAAUUGUUUUUUAAGCUGUUUUUAAAUUGGUGUUUAUAUUUGUAUUUCUGUUUUAAUUGUUCUUAAUGAUUUCUGUUUUUUAAUUGUAAACCGCCCUGAGCCAGUUCGGAAGGGUGGUAUAAAAAUCGAAUAAAUAAAACAAACAAUCAAACAAACAAACAAA